rnacentral:rRNA from 1 species
CAAGUCGAACGAGAAAGGGGAGCAAUCCCUGAGUACAGUGGCGUACGGGUGAGUAACACGUGGAUGAUCUACCCCUUAGUUUGGAAUAACCAUGGGAAACCGUGGCUAAUACCGGAUAAGCUCGAGAGAGGAAAGCAGCAAUGCGCUGAGGGAGGAGUCCGCGGCCGAUUAGCUAGUUGGGAGGGUAAAAGCCUACCAAGGCAAAGAUCGGUAGCCGGCCUGAGAGGGCACACGGCCACACUGGCACUGAAACACGGGCCAGACUCCUACGGGAGGCAGCAGUGGGGAAUCUUGCACAAUGGGGGCAACCCUGAUGCAGCGACGCCGCGUGAGCGAUGAAGCCCUUCGGGGUGUAAAGCUCUUUCGGCAGGGAAGAUGGUGACGGUACCUGCAGAAGCAGCUGCGGCUAACUACGUGCCAGCAGCCGCGGUAAUACGUAGGCAGCAAGCGUUGUUCGGAGUUACUGGGCGUAAAGGGUGUGUAGGCGGUUUUUUAAGUUUGGUGUGAAAUCUCCCGGCUCAACUGGGAGGGUGCGCCGAAUACUGAAAGACUAGAGUGCGGGAGAGGAAAGUGGAAUUCCUGGUGUAGCGGUGAAAUGCGUAGAUAUCAGGAGGAACACCGGUGGUGUAGACGGCUUUCUGGACCGUAACUGACGCUGAGACACGAAAGCGUGGGUAGCAAACAGGAUUAGAUACCCUGGUAGUCCACGCCCUAAACGAUGCAUAUUUGGUGUGGGCAGUUCAUUCUGUCCGUGCCGGAGCUAACGCGUUAAAUAUGCCGCCUGGGGAGUACAGUCGCAAGGCUGAAACUCAAAGGAAUUGACGGGGGCCCGCACAAGCGGUGGAGCAUGUGGUUCAAUUCGACGCACCGCGA